GUGGGGAAUCUUGCGCAAUGGGCGAAAGCCUGACGCAGCCAUGCCGCGUGUAUGAUGAAGGUCUUAGGAUUGUAAAAUUCUUUCACCGGGGACGAUAAUGACGGUACCCGGCGAAGAAGCUCCGGCUAACUUCGUGCCAGCAGCCGCGGUAAUACGAAGGGGGGUAGCGUUGCUCGGAAUUACUGGGCGUAACGGGCGCGUAGGCUGACAGCUUAGUCAGAGGUGAAAGCCCAGGGCUCAACCUUGGAAUUGCCUUUGAUAAUGGCUGGCUUGAGUACGGGAGAGGUGAGUGGAACUCCGAGUGUAGAGGUGAAAUUCGUAGAUAUUCGGAAGAACACCAGUGGCGAAGGCGACUCACUGGCCCGCUACUGACGCUGAGGCGCGAAAGCGUGGGGAGCAAACAGGAUUAGAUACCCUAGUAGUCC
rnacentral:rRNA from 1 species